rnacentral:rRNA from 1 species
AGUGAACGCUGGCGGUAGGCCUAACACAUGCAAGUCGAACGGCAGCACAGGAGAGCUUGCUCUCUGGGUGGCGAGUGGCGGACGGGUGAGGAAUACAUCGGAAUCUACUCUGUCGUGGGGGAUAACGUAGGGAAACUCACGCUAAUACCGCAUACGACCUACGGGUGAAAGCUGGGGACCUUCGGGCCUUGCGCGAUUGAAUGAGCCGAUGUCGGAUUAGCUAGUUGGCGGGGUAAAGGCCCACCAAGGCGACGAUCCGUAGCUGGUCUGAGAGGAUGAUCAGCCACACUGGAACUGAGACACGGUCCAGACUCCUACGGGAGGCAGCAGUGGGGAAUAUUGGACAAUGGGCGCAAGCCUGAUCCAGCCAUACCGCGUGGGUGAAGAAGGCCUUCGGGUUGUAAAGCCCUUUUGUUGGGAAAGAAAUCCAGCUGGCUAAUACCCGGUUGGGAUGACGGUACCCAAAGAAUAAGCACCGGCUAACUUCGUGCCAGCAGCCGCCGUAA